AUUGAACGCUGGCGGCAUGCUUUACACAUGCAAGUCGAACGGUAACAGGCCUUCGGGUGCUGACGAGUGGCGAACGGGUGAGUAAUGCAUCGGAACGUACCCAGAGGCGGGGGAUAACGCAGCGAAAGCUGUGCUAAUACCGCAUGUGAUCUGAGGAUUAAAGCGGGGGACCGAGCAGCAAUGUUUGGCCUCGCCCCUUUGGAGCGGCCGAUGUCGGAUUAGCUAGUUGGGGGGGUAAAGGCCUACCAAGGCGACGAUACGUAGCUGGUCUGAGAGGACGACCGAGCACACUGGGACUGAGAGACGGUCCAGACUCCUACGGGAGGCAGCGAUGGGGAAUCUUCCGAAAUGGGCGAAAGCAUGACGGAGCAACGCCGAGUGAGGGAUGAAGGUAGUCGGAUCGUAAACCGCUGUUAGCAGGGACGAAAAAAUGUGUAAGUAACUAUGCACGUCUUGACGGUACCUACUCAGAAAGCCACGGCUAACUACGUG
rnacentral:rRNA from 1 species